rnacentral:lncRNA from 1 species
UGAGGAUCUGGGUCUUGAUGGCUGCUGAAGCUUCUACUUCAGAUUUGAAGGGCAUCAGUCCUAAGGAGACCCCCAGGACUUCCAUCCCUGGUGGGAUAUGAUGCCUGGCACAAUGUGACGUGGGUGAAGGAGUUCUUAUUGAACCAUGGGAGGAAGAAAUAGUACAGAAGAGCAAAGAAUAAUAAUGAGUCAGCUAGACAGAAGACAGGAGUCAUCAGAUUUGUACCAUAGUUACUUGACCCAUCAACUGACUGUGGUUUUUGGGUUGUCUGGCUAUCUGACGGAAAGGAGAAAGGAAGAAACACGAGAAGAACAAAUACCCAUUCAUAUCUCAACACUGUGACCUGCUAUAUAUGCCUCUUUACAUGUGUACUGUCUUUCAGAGCUACUAAACCAGACACACCACUUUUCCAGUUUACGUGCUAUAGAGAGCACUAACAGAAUUGGUACAUAUCAUUUUUCAGUCAUUUAAAAAAAAUGUGAUGUGUUCAAAGUCUUAAGUCACCUGUUUCCCAGGUGACAGCCAGCCCAAAACAAUGUUGCAAUGUAUCUUUGUGUGUGUGUGUGUGUGUGUGUGUUUUUCUUGAGACGGGAGCUCUUUAGCCUCCUUAUGUUGCUCAGGCUGGAGUGCAAUGGCUAUUAACAGGCACAAUCACAGCACACUACAGCCUAGAACUCCUGGGCUCAAGUGUUCCUCUCACUUCAGCCUCCCAAGUAGCUGGGAUUUGCAGUGUAUCUUGAAUGUGAAAUAUCUUCCCAUUGUCCAGGCAUAAUUUCCCAACUUUUAUUCACGCUAUUACACAUCUAUGUCUGUAAAUCUGGAACUAAUCUGGGCAGUCUUGGUGAAAAAAAGUCAGUGAUUGCCAGGAGUUGGUUUUUAUGUGUCCAAUCUACUAUCCAAAUCCCUCGGUUAGUUUAGGUAUGCAUCCCAUUUAGAACUUGAUAUGAUUUGUUAUUACAUGUGAUUGGCAUGUGUAUAUUUUCCUUUCGGUUUAAUAUUUUUAAUUGUAUAAGCAAGGUACUUCAUACAUGUGUUGAUUACUCCUGGGGCCCUGGGCCGAGUGAGACUGUAACUCUACUUUUACCCUGAAUCCCGCUGUGUUAGGAUUCUCUCCUCUGGAAGCUGUGGUGCUGAGCCCUAGUGGUUUCAUGCAGUCCCUCCCCUUUCCCUCCCAUGUGACAGUCACUGCUUGGCCAACUAGGUGGGUAAACAGAGGAGCCUGCUGUCAAUUCAAAG